rnacentral:rRNA from 1 species
GCUGGCGGCAGGCUUAACACAUGCAAGUCGAGCGGGCGUAGCAAUACGUCAGCGGCAGACGGGUGAGUAACGCGUGGGAACGUACCUUUUGGUUCGGAACAACACAGGGAAACUUGUGCUAAUACCGGAUAAGCCCUUACGGGGAAAGAUUUAUCGCCGAAAGAUCGGCCCGCGUCUGAUUAGCUAGUUGGUGAGGUAACGGCUCACCAAGGCGACGAUCAGUAGCUGGUCUGAGAGGAUGAUCAGCCACAUUGGGACUGAGACACGGCCCAAACUCCUACGGGAGGCAGCAGUGGGGAAUAUUGGACAAUGGGCGCAAGCCUGAUCCAGCCAUGCCGCGUGAGUGAUGAAGGCCCUAGGGUUGUAAAGCUCUUUUGUGCGGGAAGAUGAUGACGGUACCGCAAGAAUAAGCCCCGGCUAACUUCGUGCCAGCAGCCGCGGUAAUACGAAGGGGGCUAGCGUUGCUCGGAAUCACUGGGCGUAAAGGGUGCGUAGGCGGGUCUUUAAGUCAGGGGUGAAAUCCUGGAGCUCAACUCCAGAACUGCCUUUGAUACUGAGGAUCUUGAGUUCGGGAGAGGUGAGUGGAACUGC